AAGCUCCAACCAGAUUUGAGAUUGGGUGGUUAGAUUCCUAGUCUGACAUGCUAACUACUACACCAUGGAGCC